GACGAACGCUGGCGGCGUGCUUAACACAUGCAAGUCGAACGGAAAGGCCCUGCUUUUGUGGGGUGCUCGAGUGGCGAACGGGUGAGUAACACGUGAGUAACCUGCCCUUGACUUUGGGAUAACUUCAGGAAACUGGGGCUAAUACCGGAUAGGAGCUCCUGCUGCAUGGUGGGGGUUGGAAAGUUUCGGCGGUUGGGGAUGGACUCGCGGCUUAUCAGCUUGUUGGUGGGGUAGUGGCUUACCAAGGCUUUGACGGGUAGUCGGCCUGAGAGGGUGACCGGCCACAUUGGGACUGAGCUACGGCCCAGACUCCUACGGGAGGCAGCAGUGGGGAAUAUUGCCCUAUGGGCGGAAGCCUGAUGCAGCAACGCCGCGUGCGGGAUGACGGCCUUCGCGUUGUAAACCGCUUUCGCCUGUGACGAAGCGUGAGUGACGGUACUGGGUAAAGAAGCACCGGCUAACUACGUG
rnacentral:rRNA from 1 species